rnacentral:rRNA from 1 species
ACAGGAAGCAGCUUGCUGCUUCGCUGACGAGUGGCGGACGGGUGAGUAAUGUCUGGGAAACUGCCCGAUGGAGGGGGAUAACUACUGGAAACGGUAGCUAAUACCGCAUAACGUCGCAAGACCAAAGAGGGGGACCUUCGGGCCUCUUGCCAUCGGAUGUGCCCAGAUGGGAUUAGCUAGUAGGUGGGGUAACGGCUCACCUAGGCGACGAUCCCUAGCUGGUCUGAGAGGAUGACCAGCCACACUGGAACUGAGACACGGUCCAGACUCCUACGGGAGGCAGCAGUGGGGAAUAUUGCACAAUGGGCGCAAGCCUGAUGCAGCCAUGCCGCGUGUAUGAAGAAGGCCUUCGGGUUGUAAAGUACUUUCAGCGGGGAGGAAGGCGAUGAGGUUAAUAACCUCGUCGAUUGACGUUACCCGCAGAAGAAGCACCGGCUAACUCCGUGCCAGCAGCCGCGGUAAUACGGAGGGUGCAAGCGUUAAUCGGAAUUACUGGGCGUAAAGCGCACGCAGGCGGUCUGUCAAGUCGGAUGUGAAAUCCCCGGGCUCAACCUGGGAACUGCAUUCGAAACUGGCAGGCUUGAGUCUCGUAGAGGGGGGUAGAAUUCCAGGUGUAGCGGUGAAAUGCGUAGAGAUCUGGAGGAAUACCGGUGGCGAAGGCGGCCCCCUGGACGAAGACUGACGCUCAGGUGCGAAAGCGUGGGGAGCAAACAGGAUUAGAUACCCCUGGUAGUCCACGCCGUAAACGAUGUCUACUUGGAGGCUGUUCCCUUGAGGAGUGGCUUCC